AAGUCGUAACAAGGUUUCCGUAGGUGAACCUGCGGAAGGAUCAUUAUCGAAUCGUCGACACGAGUUGUUGCUGGCCCUCAAACCGGGGCAUGUGCACGCUCUGUUUGCAUCCACCCACACCUGUGCACCCUCUGUAGUUCUGCGGUCUGGGGGGACCCCCCUCUUCCGUCUGCGGUUCUACGUCUUACACACACACUGUAACGCGGUUUUAUGGAAUGUACGCAGCGUUUAACGCAAUACAAUACAACUUUCAGCAACGGAUCUCUUGGCUCUC
rnacentral:misc_RNA from 1 species